CUGUAUUUUGAUGUGGUGAAGAUUUCUAGACGUACAUAUAUGUUUAGCAUUUUAUGAAGCAGUCUUCAAUGCCAGAGUGCUCCAGUGAUUUCUUCCUGUCAGAGUAAUAAAAAAGGCCCAAGGACAUGCACAGGCAGAGGAAGGCACACAGCAGAACCUACAUGCUCUCACAAAACUUGGUCCUCGUGCUGGGUUUGUCCUGAUUCCUCCGAUGACGAAACCAUCGCUGGAUCUUCCUCACUUCCCAGUCUAGCUGCUUAGACAAACCGUCCAACUGGCGUGCAUCUGGACACUGCAAUACAAUAAAAAAACAAAAACAUGAGCUGAGUGGACACUUCUAUACUGACAAAGCCAGAUUAAGAAGCUACUAAAUAACCCAAGACUAUUUAUUUCUUUUUACUGUGUACCCUGAGUAUGGAAAUGCCUUCAGAGUGAGAAAGGACAAUGACCAGACUGGUUUGAGGGGACAGAAACUCUAUAGUAACUAACCAUUUUUGGUUGAAUAACCACUCUGUACAAUCAUUGUGAACAGAUAAGCAUCUCGAAUGCACAUCGAACGUUGAGGUGGGUGGGAUACAUUUUGUGCCUAUUAAAGGGGCUUGAAUUGAUUAAACAUGACCAACAGUUAUAUUGCUUAACUUAGAUAAUUUAUUGACUGGGGUUCAUGGACCAGUCAAAUGUCAUGAGGCUAGAGCUGCAAGUUAAGGCUAUAUAUAUACGUACCAUCAUGACAUCUACGUAUGACAUCACAAGACUUUUUGGAUUUGGACGAAUCAAAAAUGUUUACAAAUACUUGCCAAACUGAAAACAAAAACAUACUUAGCAUUUGCCAAUUACGUGACCUAAGCUCUAAUUACUGGUUUAAUUAACUAACAACAAAUUUAUUUACUAAUUAAUUCAUUCGUAAAUUAACAAGAGAGGCUGAUGGUUUUGCACCAAAAUCAGGGUUCCCACUCUUUUUCAGAGAUCAUUUUCCAGGACUUUUCCAGGACAUUUCAAAUUUAGCAAAAAAAUACGAGGCUCACAGAUUCACAGCCUAAAGUAAUAUGUUCUUCUCUCCAGAAGUCUUAGAAACAACGUACACUUUAUGGCUAUUACUUAACUAUACUUUUAAAGACAACUGGUCAUGUGAAUGAAAUUUCAACAUUUAUAAAAUAAAAAGACCGCACAUAUUAAUACCCUUUCCUUUCUCAGGCCAAUGCCGUCAUGCAUGCUUUAGUUUGCUGUGCAUUCCCCUUGCACAUGAUAUUCAGAUUAACAAGGUUAAUAUAACCUGCUGACCCGUCACCAUUUGCUGAAAACAUUCGAGCACUUAAACCAUUCCUAGCACCUGAAACCGCCAACACAAGACUGCGUCAUCCGUCACAGCGAGAUUAAGCAGCAUAACAAAAACCCGUCAAAACUCAGCGUCCCUGAACAGAGCGCUUUCUGUUACUAACGUUAAUUGUUUUGACCAGUUGUAAACUGUUCUUUAAACGAUCAAGAACAUUUAAAAAUAAUAAUUUCCACAGGACAUGUGUUUUCCAGGACUGGAACAUUGGUCAUUAAUUUUCCAGGAUUUCCAGGACGCGUGGGAACCCUGAAAAUAGAUUGGUAUAUGAAGCCAUCCGUGAUUCGCUCGAUCUUAACUAGAGUCCCAGCCCCAGCUGAUGAGACGUAGCUCCAUAUCACGAUGUUGCCACCACCACGUUUCAACUUGGGUAUGAUGUUCUGUGCUUGAGUGUGUCAAAAAUAUCUUUCAGAACUUUGCCCAAAAGCUUCUAUUUUGGUCUCCUCAGACACAAAAACAUUUUGCCACAUGAUCUGGAGUUUUAUAAGCAGGCUUGGAUGUUGGCUUGGAUUGUUUUCAUAAGAAAAGAUCUCUAUUUAGCCACCCUUAAGGCAGCCUCCCUUAUAAGAUUUCGUCCCCAUUUUCUGUACUUGAUAAUGGCCUUCACGGUGUUCCACGGUUCCCACUCUUCUUAUUAUCACCAAUCUUGAUGGAUAUGUUUGGAUAAUGAGACCCUGUACAUGAUUUGUAAACUGUUUGCAAACCCUGGCACGUCAAGAAAAGCUGCAGAAACAGCUGCUCUCAGAAUCUUUUAAUCGAGGACAUGUGUAUAAGAAUUACUUUUCUUAAUGUGAUUAGUUCAACCAUCAUAUGAUACACCAGCUUAUUGUAUGGCUUUACUUUUUUUUUUCCUUUCAAAAAAAUGUCAAAGUUUGUUGUUUGCUAUAUCACAAUAAAAGUGGGGGAAAACAA